rnacentral:misc_RNA from 1 species
CCGAGUACUACACUCAUAACCCUUUGUGAACCUUUAUAACCUGUUGCUUCGGCGGCGCGCCUCUCGGGGCGUGCCCGCCGGUAUCAUCAGAAUCUCUGUUCGAAUCCGACGAUACAUCUGAGUGUUCUAAGCGAACUGUUA